CAAUAGCGUAUAUUAAAGUUGUUGCGGUUAAAAAGCUCGUAGUUGGAUUUCUGCUGAGGACGACCGGUCCGCCCUCUGGGUGAGUAUCUGGCUCGGCCUUGGCAUCUUCUUGGUGAACGUAUCUGCACUUGACUGUGUGGUGCGGUGGCCAGGACUUUUACUUUGAGGAAAUUAGAGUGUUUCAAGCAGGCAUACGCCUUGAAUACAUUAGCAUGGAAUAAUAAGAUAGGACCUCGGUUCUAUUUUGUUGGUUUCUAGGGCUGAGGUAAUGAUUAAUAGGGAUAGUUGGGGGGCAUUCGUAUUUAAUUGUCAGAGGUGAAAUUCUUGGAUUUAUGAAAGAUGAACUUAGGCGAAAGCAUUUACCAAGGAUGUUUUCAUUAAUCAAGAACGAAAGUUAGGGGAUCGAAGAUGAUUAGAU
rnacentral:rRNA from 1 species